rnacentral:rRNA from 1 species
CGAACGCUGGCGGCGUGCCUAACACAUGCAAGUCGAACGAGAAAGCGGGCUUCGGCCCGUGAGUACAGUGGCAGACGGGUGAGUAACACGUGGGUAAUCUGCCCGGAGGUGGGGGAUAACCCUCCGAAAGGAGGGCUAAUACCGCAUAACACCCGCGAGGUUUCGGCCUUGCGGAUCAAAGCUGGCCUCUAUUUAUAUGCUGGCGCCACCGGAGGAGCCCGCGGCCCAUUAGCUUGUUGGUGAGGUAACGGCUCACCAAGGCUACGAUGGGUAGCCGGCCUGAGAGGGCGAUCGGCCACACUGGAACUGAGACACGGUCCAGACUCCUACGGGAGGCAGCAGUGAGGAAUUUUGCGCAAUGGGGGAAACCCUGACGCAGCGACGCCGCGUGUAGGACGAAGGCCUUCGGGUCGUAAACUACUGUCAAGUGGGACGAAUUUCGUCGGAAUGAAUAAGUCCGGCGGUUGACGGUACCACUGAAGGAAGCCCCGGCUAACUCC